UACAGAGGGGGCAAGCGUUAUUCGGAAUUACUGGGCGUAAAGCGCGCGCAGGCGGCUAUCCAAGUCAGUGGUGAAAGCCCGGAGCUCAACUCCGGAACUGCCAUUGAAACUGUUUAGCUUGAGGAUGAGAGAGGUGAGUGGAAUUCCCAGUGUAGAGGUGAAAUUCGUAGAUAUUGGGAAGAACACCGGUGGCGAAGGCGGCUCACUGGCUCAUUACUGACGCUCAGGCGCGAUAGCGUGGGGAUCAAACAGG
rnacentral:rRNA from 1 species